rnacentral:rRNA from 1 species
GACGAACGCUGGCGGCGUGCUUAACACAUGCGAGUCGAACGGAAAGGCCCUGCUUGCCGGGUACUCGAGUGGCGAACGGGUGAGUAACACGUGGGUGAUCUGCCCUGCACUUCGGGAUAAGCCUGGGAAACUGGGUCUAAUACCGGAUAGGAGCCAUUUUUAGUGUGAUGGUUGGAAAGUUUUUUCGGUGUAGGAUGAGCUCGCGGCCUAUCAGCUUGUUGGUGGGGUAAUGGCCUACCAAGGCGGCGACGGGUAGCCGGCCUGAGAGGGUGGACGGCCACAUUGGGACUGAGAUACGGCCCAGACUCCUACGGGAGGAAGCAGUGGGGAAUAAUGCACAAUGGGCGCAAGCCUGAUGCAGCGACGCCGCGUGGGGGAGGACGGCCUUCGGGUUGUAAACGCCUUUCGCUAGGGACGAAGCUUUUUGUGACGGUACCUAGAUAAGAAGCACCGGCUAACUACGUG